rnacentral:piRNA from 1 species
UACAAAUAAGCACUAAGGCCCAUGCAUGU